rnacentral:lncRNA from 9 species
UUUUUUUUUUUUUUUUCCUUUUUUGUCCACCCUGAGGCACAUGGAGUUCCUGGGCCAGAGAUCAGAUCUGAGCCAAGGUUGCUACUUAAGCUGCAGCUGUGGUAAGGCCAGAUCCUUAACCCAUGGUUCUGGGCUGGGGAUCGAACCUGUGUUCCAGUGCUCCCACAAUGCCGCCAAUCCCAUUGCACCAAAGCGGGAAAUUCUUAACAUGUUUUAACUUAAGUUCACACAGCUAUUAGGUGACUUGGCAAGAAUUUGAAGCCAGCUACAUAUGACUGAAAAAUCCAUAUGUUCUUACCUUUUUUCUUUGUCUAUCACAGAAUUCUGGACUCAUGAACAGUAUUGGUCCAAGAUUAUUUUAUUCUUUUCUAUUUUAUGAUUAUUUAAUUCUCCAAAAUAAUUAUUAUUUUUUUACAAAUUAAGAUUAUGAAACAUUCUUAAAAGAGUUUCCUAAGGUAUUGUUUGGUUUUCUAGGGCUGCUGUUACCAAGUACCACAAUCUGGGUGGCUCAAAACAACAGAAUUUUUUUGUCUCACAGUUUCAGAGGCUAAAAGUCCAAAACCAAGGUGUCAGAGGGGCUCAGUUCCCUCUGAAACCCAGGAGAAUCCCUCUUUGCCUCUUCCCAGCUCCUGGUGGUUUGCUAGCAAUCCUAGCCAGGCCAUGGGCUGUAGCCCCAGCACUGCAGUCUCUGUCCCCUUCCCACAUGGCCAUCUCCCAGGUCUCCCCUUCUAAAGACACCAACUGUAUUGAAUUAAGGGCCUCCCUACUCCCACCUCAUCCUAACUAAUUAUAUCCCUAAUGGCCCUAUUUCCAAAUAAGGUCACAUCCUUAGAUACUGGGAAUUGAGACUUAUCUUUGGGGGGGAACAUAAUUCAACCUAUAAUAAGUAUGCUCUGAGCACUUUAAACAGCAGCCACUAUUUUUUAUAACUGAACUAACACCUGGUCAUCAACAGCUCAUAAAGUGAGAGCAAAAAUGUUGGUACAUAUCUGAUGUUUUUCUUUUUUUUUUUCUUUUUGCUAUUUCUUGGGCCGCUCCCGCGGCAUAUGAAGGUUCCCAGGAUGGUGGUGAAACAGAAGCCCAACACUUGGUGCUGUGACAGGAGUCCAAGCCCUGGACUGAUGACCUCCAGACCUCUUUUGUAUGAGAAAAAAGCAGACCUCUAUGUUAAGUUGCCAUUAACUUGGACUUGCUGUCACCUGCAGUUGAACUUUAUUUGAAUGGACACAAGGAGUGAUGCAGGGCUUGUAUCAUUCAUUACGGAGUGGAAUUUCACUGAAUACAGAAACCAAGGUGGCUGAGGGGUGAAAGAGGGCUGAAAUCCAGCCUGCCCUCUCCUUUCCAAGCCUUGAACAGAACUGUGUUCACCAGGAGGCCAAGAUGCCUGGAGCCCUGUAACAAGAGUGAAAUAUUGCCUAGAAUCUAGACUCUGUAGCAGCAGGUUCUAAAAUGUCACCUGCACACUUCUGGAGGCAGUGGAGAUGAUGUGAAAUAGUUCCCAGAUGUACCUUUAAAAAUAUUUAAUAUUAAAUGGGUUUACAUCUCAAGGUAGUUAGUGCUCCAUUCUGCAAGUUCAGAUCUCAAUGGUAGGAAGGAUAACAUGGAAGGAGUUUGCUGGGAGGCAGGUAUGAAAGAACUAAAACUCACCAGACUAUCAUGUCAUUAGGUACAUGGCUAUAGUACAAGCUCUGGAGCCAACCUGCCUGUGUUCAAAACCUGACUGUCAGGAAUUGGUUGUGUUGUUUUGGGCACUUUUCUUAACUUCACUGUCAGUUUUGGUAACAGCACUUAACACAGUAUCAUGCUCUGAGGAUUUUAAUGAUUUUUACAGUACCUGACAUAUGAUGACUAAAUGUAGGCUUCUACUACCAUUCUGGAAAUCAUUCAGCAAAGGAACCAGAAAUUGGCUUUGUAUGGCCACUUCUGUUGAAAGCUUACACUUUGCCAGGAAUUGUACAUAUAUGAUCUUACUUUAGUCAUGAGAAAACUAAGGCUUAAAAAGGUUCAGUGACUUCCCAAAGUUACACAACUACUGCAGCAAAUUAGAUUGGAUUGGAUUCCAGAGCCAUGCUUUUUAACUAAGAUAAUUGAGUACCAAAGACAAGACCUGUAAGAUUUCAUAAGAGUCUUCCUCUAUGCCCCCAAUCUUCCUACUCAUACAUGUAUUAUAGCAGCCAACUCUCAAACUAAAAAGAUCUGGGAGUUCCCGUGUGGCAUAAAGGGAUUAGCAUCAUCUUGGGAGGGCUGGGACGUAGGUUUGAAUCCUGGCCCAGCCCAGUGGGCUAAGGGUCUGGCACUGCCACAGCUGUGGUCAAAACUGUGGCUGAGACCUGAUCCCUGGCCUAGGAACUCCAUAUGUCACAAGGGGGCCAAAGAGGAAAAAAAAGGUCUGUUCCGAGUGGAGGAUGGGCAGACGAAAGAGAUCAAGUGCAACAGCUGAAGGGGGGUGGGGGAGUUCUGGGAAAUUGCAAAAGCUGUCAGCCUUAGCUAAGACUCAGGCAGAGGCCCUGGGAUGUGUGGCAAAAUGGGAGAGCCUGGGAAAAUGAGCAGGCCUGAAAAAGAAAUGCCUCUUGAAACAGUGGACACGAUUCACUUUUAUUAUUCAGUGCUGCUAAAAUACUGUUGCAUUGUUAAAUACAAAAUCCUAUAACUUAGCAAUUUUACACUUUCUGAUGUCACUUCAACAAAAAGUUCAAAAUGUUCCAAAUCGGUUCCUUCAGUUUUGCCAGUUGCAGAAAAAUAACUUUCCCGUUUCUACUUAAAUUUUAAACGUCUCUCCUUUCUAGGACUGAAAAACGGCCUGCAACUUUGCUUACCUUUCCAAAGGUAACUUUAUUCUUUCAUUAAAGUCAGCAUCAGGGGAGGACCAAGUCUGACUUCGAGGUUACCGAUGAAUUGUCAGUUAUCCCCUCUCCUGCUCCUGGAGUAUGGAGAGAACGAACACUUGCCGGCGAACCUCCAAGGUGCUUUUAAGUGUCGAUGCCCAGGGCUCUAACCCUAGCCACUUUCGCUGCCCAGGUAGGCUAGCGGUCCGCCCGGCAGCUGUCCCUAGGGCGGCUGACUCAUGCCGCCGCCCACGCGGCUUUGGGAGGCCUCGGGAGGCUGCGGUGCAGGCCCGGCCACUUAUGUUCGCUCACCUGGGCGGCUGCGCCUGAGGCUGCAGCGUUUUGAGCGGCCAACGUUGACUCCGCCGCCGGCUCGACAGCCCAGGCCCACGUCCUACUUCAAAAGGACGGACUCCGGAGCGUGCCCGGGUGCCCGAGGCCGCCGGUCGACGGGGCGCCUGCAGCCUGCGAGCCGUGCAGAAGAAAGGUCCGGCAGAACCGCUGGAGGUGGGCGCUCUCCGCUGCCCCGACGCGCUCCCUCCGC